GACGAACGCUGGCGGCGUGCUUAACACAUGCCAGUCGAACGGAAAGGCCCUGCUUGCAGGGUACUCGAGUGGCGAACGGGUGAGUAACACGUGGGUGAUCUGCCCUGCACUUCGGGAUAAGCCUGGGAAACUGGGUCUAAUACCGGAUAGGAGCCAUUUUUAGUGUGAUGGUUGGAAAGUUUUUUCGGUGUAGGAUGAGCUCGCGGCCUAUCAGCUUGUUGGUGGGGUAAUGGCCUACCAAGGCGGCGACGGGUAGCCGGCCUGAGAGGGUGGACGGCCACAUUGGGACUGAGAUACGGCCCAGAUUCCUACGGGAGGCAGCAGUGGGGAAUAUUGCACAAUGGGCGCAAGCCUGAUGCAGCGACGCCGCGUGGGGGAUGACGGCCUUCGGGUUGUAAACUCCUUUCGCUAGGGACGAAGCUUUUUGUGACGGUACCUAGAUAAGAAGCACCGGCUAACUACGUG
rnacentral:rRNA from 1 species